CCUGCACUUGGAUCACUACAACCCCAUGCAAUGUUUCAGGCUUGGGGCAGAAUGGCUUGAGAGCUGCUCAGCAGAAAUGGCCUUGGGGGUCCUGGCUGACCAUGAGCCAGCAGUGUGCCUAGGUGGCCAAGAAGGCCACCUGUAUCUUGGUCUGUAUCCAGAACAGGACUAGUGAAGCCAUUGUCCUGCUGCACUUGGCACUUGUGAGGCUGCAUCUUGAGUACUGUGUUCAGUUCUGGGCCUCUCACUACAAGAAGGACAUUGAGGUGCUAGAGCAAGUCCAGAGAAGGGCAACGAAGCUGGUGAAGGCUCUGGAGCACAAUUCUUAUGAGGAGCAACAGAGGGAGCUGGAGAAGAGGAUUUUCA